ensembl:lncRNA
GGGGGGGCGUUCCAGUGCGGGCACAUGAGUCGCCUCCCACCCCCACUCCACAGACGGGCGCUCAGGCGGCAGGGGAGGGGUGCUGGCGGUGCGGGCGGCCUGGCCACUUCCGGCGGGAGUGCCCUAUGAUGGAGGUGGGUCAGGUCGUCCGCGUCACCGGUGCCCCGUCUCCUCCCCACGGUCCCGGCGAGGCGUACCGUAUCCCGUGAGGUGGGGAAUCCAGGAAGGAUUGGGAGGAGAAAGGAGCCGAUCGCCAACAGAGAUCGCGUUAAGCAGAAUAUGAUUUACGUUCAGUCCAAUUGUCUUUGAUUUACA